rnacentral:rRNA from 1 species
CACGGAGGCCCCGAGCGUUGUUCGGAUUUACUGGGCGUAAAGCGUGCGUAGGCGGUUAGGUAAGUCAGAUGUGAAAGCCCGGGGCUCAACCCCGGAACUGCAUCCGAUACUGCCUGACUCGAGGGUUGGAGAGGAGACUGGAAUUCACGGUGUAGCAGUGAAAUGCGUGGAUAUCGUGAGGAAGACCAAUGGCGAAGGCAGGUCUCUGGACAACAUCUGACGCUGAUGCACGAAGGCCGGGGGAGCAAAAAGG